rnacentral:rRNA from 1 species
AACGAACGCUGGCGGCAUGCCUAACACAUGCAAGUCGAACGAGAUCUUCGGGUCUAGUGGCGCACUGGUGCGUAACGCGUGGGAAUCUGCCCUUUGGUUCGGAAUAACAGUUGGAAACGACUGCUAAUACCGGAUGAUGACGAAAGUCCAAAGAUUUAUCGCCAGAGGAUGGGCCCGCGUAGGAUUAGCUAGUUGGUGUGGUAAAGGCGCACCAAGGCGACGAUCCUUCGCUGGUCUGAGAGGAUGAUCACCCACACUGGGACUGAGACACGGCCCAGGCUCCUACGGGAGGCAGCAGUGGGGAAUAUUGGACAAUGGGCGAAAGCCUGGUCCAGCAAUGCCGCGUGAGUGAUGAAGGCCUUAGGGUUGUAAAGCUCUUUUACCAGGGAUGAUAAUGACAGUAACGGGAGAAUAAGCUCCGGCUAACUCCGUGCCAGCCGCCGCAGUAA